CCACGCCAGGCCCUACACCUGCGCCGCUCUCUGCCCUACCUACGCGUACCUACCGACCUAGCUGCACCCUUUGCAACCACCACCACCACUACCAUCGCCAACUUCUCGCUCGUUUUCCGUGAAUUACCUCAAUGUCGGUCACCCUCUCCGUUUUCACGCUGCUCACUGCUAUUCGUUUAUUUUCGCAGGGGCUAACUCGCGACUGGUGCUCCUGUUCGAUCAACCUACCCUUGCGUCGAGCAACCGGGUCAUCGUAACUGUUCGAUGUAACACGUUGGCCAGCUGGAAUUACUUCGGCCGUGUAGAAGUUGGCGUGCGUGUCACUCGAGGCCGGUAAUAUGCUCGAACAAACGGAAGGUUCGUCCACCGAUGUGCAAAGGGAAGAAUGUACAGGAGGUUUCAAAAUUGUUAAGAAAAACAAGUUAGAAGACUGAUCAACCAUGCAUACCAUAAAUGAUCAGGAAAUGAUUGAGGGGAAGUAUCUAUUUCUAUGGAGAAAUCGAACGUCCGGUUGUUAAAG